AACGCACAUUGCGCCCGCUAGUAUUCUGGCGGGCAUGCCUGUUCGAGCGUCAUUUCAACCAUCAAGCCCUAGGCUUGCGUUGGAGCCCUGCGGCCGCCGCAGCCUCCCAAAACCAGUGGCGGGCUCGCUAUCACACCGAGUGCAGUAGUUUACUCUUCGCUCAGGGCGUGUUACGGGUGCUAGCCGUAAAACCCCCUACUUCUCAAGGUUGACCUCGGAUCAGGUAGGAAUACCCGCUGAACUUAA
rnacentral:misc_RNA from 1 species